GCCAAGACAAGUGAAGAUGUCCCCAUUUCGGCACUUUUUCAUUGGCUUCUGAUUGAAUGGCAUGAGAUCCCGGCGAAGAUGGGAUAAAACAAACUCUGUACACAAAACAUUUUGCGUCUGGCUAAAAAGUUUGAAAACAAGGCUUCAAAGCGGAAAGUGAAUAGGAUUCUAAAUAACGAACAAGAUCCCUUUUGAAACCAGUUAUAGAAUCACCAUCUCCGAUCUUCUCGUUGUCUUUUGAUGACAAAGGUGGACAAGACGGACUAAUCCAAAGGCCUGCACAAAUUUAUUGUUUAAAAAACGAUAGUUUGCCAAUAGGGAUUGUAGUGGUACGUACCUUGUGUACGGUCUUCCCAAUCAGAUUCAAUAAGGUUACCCGUAUGAACAACGAUUCGCAAAUUUCCGUCUUCGUAGGACAUCAUGGACAUUUUCCUUCAGGUUUGACUCUGAUCGUGUGAAGCGUUGGCACUCGACUUUGAGCGGCAGCUAGCUCUUCGGAUUCAGUUCCGUAAAUCACGAGCAUUGGCU